rnacentral:rRNA from 1 species
CCUACGGGGGGCUGCAGUGGGGAAUAUUGGACAAUGGGGGCAACCCUGAUCCAGCCAUGCCGCGUGUGUGAAGAAGGCCCUCGGGUGGUAAAGCACUUUCAGUGAGGAAGAACGCCUGGUGGUUAAUACCCAUCAGGAAAGACAUCACUCACAGAAGAAGCACCGGCUAACUCCGUGCCAGCAGCCGCGGUAAUACGGAGGGUGCGAGCGUUAAUCGGAAUUACUGGGCGUAAAGCGCGCGUAGGUGGCUUGAUAAGCCGGUUGUGAAAGCCCCGGGCUCAACCUGGGAACGGCAUCCGGAACUGUCAAGCUAGAGUGCAGGAGAGGAAGGUAGAAUUCCCGGUGUAGCGGUGAAAUGCGUAGAGAUCGGGAGGAAUACCAGUGGCGAAGGCGGCCUUCUGGACUGACACUGACACUGAGGUGCGAAAGCGUGGGUAGCAAACAGGAUUAGAUACCCUUGUAGUC